GCUUCUCCUUUUCUUUUUCCUUUAUGUUUUUAAUUUAUUUUCUGCAACUUCAUCUUGUUUUGGAUGAUUGUGAUUUUGAGUUAAUGAAAAUUAUGUUUAUCAAUUGUGUUAAUAGAAAUUUUUUGUUGUUAUUUUGUUUUGGAUGUUUGUUUUAAAAUUGGUGGUGACUGUUACCAUGAUUUGAGGCUUGAGCAUAUAUGAAAAGUGCAUACCUGAAAAGAACUGAAUAUUCAAACUGAACCGAACUGUUUUUUUCGGUUUGAUUCGGUUAGGUUGUUUAUGUAGUUCAAUUCGGUUCGGUUCAGUUCAAAACCAAACCAACCGUCUGCACACCCCUACUAAUAUCUCAUAUGGGAGUCUCUAAACAUCUCAUUACAUAGGGUAUUCCAAUUUUAGAUUAGAAAACAAUAGCAACCCUAAACCACGGGCAGGUGUAUUUAAUGGAUUCUAGCAUAACUGGUUUUACAUGAUUUCACAGCAGCAGAUUAAUAAGAAGCAAUUUGACCCAUAGUUACAUGAAACAUGGUACUCUUUGGUCGUGAUACGCAAUACUCGUACGCCACUUAAUAAAAUACAGGAUAGGUAGGCUUAAUUGGUACAUUAAUUUGGUUCAUGAUACAAGAAUUAUAUUUGUUCGAUAUGUGAAUUAUAUUGAUGUGGCAUAAUUAAUUUUUUUAAAUUUUAUUCAACAUAUUAGAUUUACAAAAA
rnacentral:misc_RNA from 1 species